UGGGGUGUAGAUUGACCUGAGCAAAUGUGGUGCCUUUGGAACGAAAGCCUUCGGAGGAGUUAGCGAAAUUCCAAUGUGUGCGGAUCGGCAAAAAAUGCGAAAUAGCCCUUUAACCGUACAUUUGACAGAUACGCGCGCAUUGACUUUUUUGUAGAUCUUAUUGAGAUACAUGUGUGUGUCAAUUUUGGUGUCAAUAUGACAAAGCGUAAAGGCGUGACAGUCAAUAGUGUGAAUUUUCGCCAGUAGGAGACAAGAAAAAAUUGACUUUUUUCUCCUACCAUGGGGGGGCGCUCUUUUGGCGAGUAAAAAUUCCUUCACAAAUGUGUUGAUGGCUGGACAUUGCAUCAUCCUAGAGAACUUGGAGGCCAGUGAGGACAAAAAUAAAAAGUUAUAAGACUUUUAAGACUGUGGAUUUUUGGGUUAUCUUUGGCGCCCCCUAGAACGUAAACCGUGGGGUGCAGCGUCAUGAUUUGUACAACUUUUAAUGGCCAUGGGGUGUAGAUUGGCCUGAGCAAAUGUGGUGCCGGUGGAACGAAAGCCUUCGGAGGAGUUAGCGAAAUUCCAAUGUGUGCGGAUCGGCAAAAAAUGCGAAAUAACCCUCUAACCGUACAUUUGACAGAUACGCCCGCACUAACUUUUUUGUAGAUCUUAUUGAGAUACAUGUGUGUGUCAAUUUUUGUGUCAAUAUGACAAAGCGUAAAGGCGUGACAGUCAAUAGUGUGAAUUUUCACCUUAGGGGGCGCUUUGGAGCCAUUUUGCAUUUUAUUGUUUGGGCGACUUCAGAAUAUCGAAUUUUUCACCAGGCCCAUUCGUCCUGCCAAAUUUCAUGAGUUUUCGCCAGUGGGAAGUGGGCCAUUUUCCCCUUCAAAGGGGAGGAAAAAUAAGAAGAAAGAAAGAAAGAAAGAAAGAAAGAAAGAAGAAAGAAAAACCUUUACAGGAAUAAUAGGGCUCUACGCCCGGCUGCUCUGCAGCUGGCUCGGGCCCUAAAGACUAGGGCCCCGGUGGGGCACUGUCGGGCCCGAGCCGCGUCGCGCCGCCCCCAGCGCGACCGCCUCCCCCUCCCGAUCGCGUCACACUCAAGGUCCAAAGAUGGUGUGCGCACUUGUCUGUGGUCAUUUCCCAUUAUAAUGAAUGGGAGGCGCAGUUUCUACCAAAACGCUCGCUGCAGACAAACUACAUGUCCUAUUUGAAAAAAGUCUGGACCAUGAGUGAGGGCACAAACACAGCUAGUAUAUAUCCAAAUGGCAAGUUGCUCCUCCUCUCGGUUUUGCAGAGAGAGCGAUGCGUUUGAGCCAUUGAGCGAUGGGCAGGAAAAACUUGACUUUUUCUCCUGCCAUGGGGGGGAGCUCUUUUGGGGAGAAAAAAUUCCUUCACAAAUGUGUUGAUGGCUGGACAUUGCAUCAUCCUAGAAAACUUGGAGGCCAGUGAGGACAAAAAUAAAAAGUUAUAAGACUUUUAAAAAUGUGGAUAUUUGGGUCCUCUUUGGCGCCCCCUAGAACGUAAACUGUGGGGUGCAGCGUCAUGAUUUGUACAACUUUGAAUGGCCAUGGGGUGUAGAUUGGCCUGAGCAAAUUUGAAGCCGAUGGGACAAAAGAUUUAGGAGGAGUUAGCGAAAUUCCAAUGUGUGCGGAUCGGCAAAAAAUGCGAAAUAACCCUUUAACCGUACAUUUGACAGAUACGCCCGCACUGACUUUUUUGUAGAUCUUAUUGAGAUACAUGUGUGUGUCAAAUUUUGUGUCAUUUUGACAAAGCGUAAAGGCGUGACAGUCAACAAUGUGUAUUUUUGCCUUAGGAGACAAGAAAAAAUGGACUUUUUUCUCCUGCCAUGGGGGGCGCUCUUUUGGCGAGUAAAAAUUCCUUCACAAAUGUGUUGAUGGCUGGACAUUGCAUCAUCCUAGAGAACUUGGAGGCCAGUGAGGACAAAAAUAAAAAGUUAUAAGACUUUUAAGACUGUGGAUUUUUGGGUUAUCUUUGGCGCCCCCUAGAACGUAAACCGUGGGGUGCAGCGUCAUGAUUUGUACAACUUUUAAUGGCCAUGGGGUGUAGAUUGGCCUCAGCAAAUGUGGUGCCUUUGGAACGAAAGCCUUCGGAGGAGUUAGCGAAAUUCCAAUGUGUGCGGAUCGGCAAAAAAUGCGAAAUAGCCCUUUCACCGUACAUUUGACAGAUACGCCCGCACUGACUUUUUUGUAGAUCUUAUUGAGAUACAUGUGUGUGUCAAUUUUUGUGUCAAUAUGACAAAGCGUAAAGGCGUGACAGUCAAUAGUGUGAAUUUUCGCCUUAGGAGACAAGAAAAAAUGGACUUUUUUCUCCUGCCAUGGGGGGGCGCUCUUUUGGGGAGUAAAAAUUCCUUCACAAAUGUGUUGAUGGCUGGACAUUGCAUCAUCCUAGAAAACUUGGAGGCCAGUGAGGACAAAAAUAAAAAGUUAUACGACUUUUAAGAAUGUGGAUUUCUGGGUUAUCUUUGGCGCCCCCUAGAACGUAAACCGUGGGAUGCAGCGUCAUGAUUUGUACAACUUUUAAUGGCCAUGGGGUGUAGAUUGGCCUGAGCAAAUUUGGUGCCGGUGGAACGAAAGCCUUCGGAGGAGUUAGCGAAAUUCCAAUGUGUGCGGAUCGGCAAAAA
rnacentral:lncRNA from 1 species